AGAGUAAAAUAGUACGUGAAAUUGUUGAAAGGGAAACGAUUGAAGUCAGUCGUACCAGCGGGAAAUCAACCUUUCGAGUGGGAUCUUUGGAGCUUUUAAAGAGUUUCAAAGCCUUUGGGUUUCAAAGAUUUCUUCUCUUUUGGUGUACUUUCUCGUAGGUUGGUCAACAUCGAUUUUGAACAUCAUAAAAAGACUGGAGGAAUGUAGCUUCGAUCUCGUAUUGAAGUAUUAUAGCCUUUGGUAAAUGUGAUGAUCAAGAUCGAGGAUUGCAACGAAUAUCCUUUUGGGCUAUUCGUCUGAUCUCUGACACGUUGCCUUGGUAUUGAAAGCGUGCUUAUGAUAUUGAGGUAUUACGGUCAAAAGGUUAGAACGGAUUACAUUCGUUAAGGAUGUUGACGUAAUGGCUUUAAACGACC
rnacentral:rRNA from 1 species